rnacentral:lncRNA from 1 species
CUUCCUGAAUGAGGGACCCCUCGCUUUUGAGAAGAGUCCAACUUUUAAGUUCUGGUCAUGGCCUGGUCCUUUGGUUCUGUAGGGAGGAGAAUCUUUGGUUCUGCAGUCAUUUCUAGUCAAUAUUUCUUCUUCGGUGCAUGCUCUGGGCACAUGGCUUUGCAAACUUUCUGAAGGGAAAUUCUUAAUCACCCUGUUGAUAAGAUGGGGUCAGUUGAACUGGUCCCGGAGGGCCCAUAGUUACAUGCUGAGUGAACAGUUAGAUGUAGAAAUGAGGGAUAGGAAGAAAGUUAGAAAUCCAACUGAGUCUCUAGCUUGAAGAUCUGAAAUAGGGAAUGUGGGCAGGAGCAGAUACUUAUGGAGAAAUUGACACUUUUUGAGCUCCUACUAUGUGCCAGAGUUUGCUAGACACUUAGCAUAACUGUUGGCAUUUAGGCAGUCAAGAAAUAGCAUUCUUAUUUUUCUCCCCAACUUGGAAACCAUUGAAGGAUACAACACAAGAGUUAGUCACAUGGAGAUCAAAAUCUCUGGCCAGCAUUGAUCUUGGGUUUGGAUUGACAAUUAAACUCAAGACACCAUAGGCUUCAUCUGGCAUUGUUUAGCUUUAGGAAAGGCUAUGGAUACAAUAACAGCAUGAAUGGACCAGCAGAGUAAAGUCCCAUGACGCCCAGGCACAGCUUCUGAGGUCCCCUACACUCUGCACUUGGAAUGCGAUGAAGGGAUUUUACUAGGUGAAGAUUCCUUUGUCAGCUGCUCUUGGAGCCUGUACUCCAGCACCAGCUCCACUGAAGUUUAUUAUAGGAAACACUGGCAUUUGUCAUUUUUCCAAUAUUUGGAGCUUGCUGCCUUAAUAAAUGCACAUAUCAGAUGAUGCUCUCUCCCUGUCUGAUGGGCGGAUGCUGUUGGGCAGAAGAAGGUCACAGUGAUGUUAAAUUUGCUGCUGAGCAAAGGAUCAAAGUGUAAAUGGAAUCCUGAAAGCUGGGAAAUGAUUCCAAAGCACAGAGGCAACAAUCCUAAACACUUGAGGUCUUUGGACGGAAGUGGUGCUUCAGAACUUUCAAGAACCAUGGCUCUGCUGCCCUGGUAGGAACUUUAUAUUGAGAAGACACAAAGAUAGUGCCCAUUUUGCUUUGCAUCAAAAUUGUGCCCAGCAUCUGUUACAUAAACAGGGUGAAUAGCUACAGGGUUCCCAGAUUGUGAAGGAAGCAGCGAACCCGCUUCCUCCUCACUAGCCAGCGUAACUGACAGCACUUAGCUCCCUGCAUCCUUGCUGCCUCGGUUCUGAAGGGAAGCAUUGUGGUGCGGCCUUCCUGACACUGAGGUGCUGACAACAGGCAGACCUAGGCAAGGAGUGUCAUCAGGAAGAGAGCAGAGGAAGGAAGCCUGGUGCUGUGAGAAUGAAGAUAAUAAAG